GGUUUAUUACAUGGUGGCGCCAUCUAGUGGCGGCUUGUAUUAUCACAGCAUCGACCACUCUGACGCUCCUUAUACAAAACUGAAGUGAGAACUCUGCUGCCAUCUAGCGGCGGACUCGCGCUUUUCCGUUUUGACCCUGCUGACGUCCCGUAGACGGCUACUUAAAGCCUUGUGCGCGCUCUUGUGUUCUCUUUCUCUGCUGACUGCGCGGCAGGGAGGUCGGCUGUGGCCCCCCCCGGAGCGGACACGUGGCCCCAGACCCUCUUGCAGGUUGGAUGCAGGGUCUCUGAAGCCUCGGCUGCGCAGGAUGAGUGCAGCGUCCCUGGAGCCUCUGCUUUUUCAGGUAUGUCGACCAGCUUCCAGUCUUCUCUGUUCCCUUGCCCCUAGAGGCGUUGCAGACAUGACCUUGGUUUCAUGUCUGUGUCAUUAGGCGGCAUAGAUUAAGGCGGCUGCGUCUACGCUCGGUGCCCGCUGUGUGGGUACUAAGAAUGAUUUCCAGCCGGAUAUUUGGACACCCACUAGAGGGCGUUAC